rnacentral:lncRNA from 1 species
CCAUCUGCAUCAAAAUUUCUGUGAGCAGUCAUUGUGCUAUAAAUUUAAUAUUGUCAUUAUUAUCUCCUGUCGGAAUCUCAUCUAAACCACCAGGAAGUGGUUGGAACGGUGCUGACAAAUGUCCGUGACGAUGUGUGUCUGUCCUUGAAACAGAGGUCAGCGGUGUAAAGAGCUGUUAGAAGGACCAAGCAGCACUUUCUUAUGCUUUGUUGUUUUAGGAGAGGACAUUGAAAAAUAUUGAGGAUGAUUCUGAAAAAAUGAAAAGCGGUAAUGAGGUUGUUGAAGCUUGCAUCUAACCCACUACGACGAAACAAAGGCAGUGACGCGCUCGCCUGGAGUCGGGUCCCUAUCUCUCUGGGCACGGAGAGCCUGGUCACCUUCACAGAGGAAAGAGACCCCAGAGAGGACCGCAGGAUGGCCCCGCUGCCUGGCGGGGAGGAGCAGCAUGGCGGGUGGCGGACGGCGAGGGCUGAGGUUCGAAGAGAGGAAAGAAGGAAGGGAGAUUGCAGACGCAUCGCUGUCAUGAUGAAGACCGCGUCCUUUCCUCCUUUCCGGCCCCUCGAGGCGCACAGGGCGGCGGGGGAGCGAAUGACGGUCUCAUUGGAUAACUCACUGAGUUGCUCAGGCUGGCCUUGAGUUUGGGAUCCUCCUGCCUCAGCCUCCUGCGUAGCUGGCAGUACAGGUGUGUUUCACCGUGCUUGACUUCUUCAUUGCUUUGGUCUGCAACAGCCCUAUCCCAGCCUUCCACUGCUGGGGUCUUCCAGACAGCAACCCUUAUCCACGUGCUGUUUGUGCCUCUCCUUAUGCCACCUGAUGAGUUCUAAAUUGUUUAAAUAAAUUCUGAAAGUCCAUAAUUAUCAUCAUUCAAUGCUUGUAUCACUUCAAUUAGCCUUGAUAAAAGUUUUAGUUGAUUUCCAUUGAAAGUACCAGAUACCUUUGAAAGAGGUAAUACAGAGG